rnacentral:misc_RNA from 1 species
AAGUCGUAACAAGGUUUCCGUAGGUGAACCUGCGGAAGGAUCAUUAUCGAAUGAAUGCGGAGUCGGUUGUAGCUGGUCCCUCCCCGGGGCAUGUGCACGCCUUCUCUCUCAUCCACAAACCCCUGUGCACUCGUGAGACGGAGGCUUCGGCCCGACACCGGGCUUGGUCCCCGUCUUUAUAACACAAACUCCAUUUAUCUGAAUGUAAACCUGAUGCUAAGCAUCUAAACUAAUACAAAGUUUCAACAACGGAUCUCUUGGCUCUC